GAGCAGGUGCGAAAGCAGGUCAUAGUGAUCCGGUGGUUCUGAAUGGAAGGGCCAUCGCUCAACGGAUAAAAGGUACUCCGGGGAUAACAGGCUGAUACCGCCCAAGAGUUCAUAUCGACGGCGGUGUUUGGCACCUCGAUGUCGGCUCAUCACAUCCUGGGGCUGAAGUAGGUCCCAAGGGUAUGGCUGUUCGCCAUUUAAAGUGGUACGCGAGCUGGGUUUAGAACGUCGUGAGACAGUUCGGUCCCUAUCUGCCGUGGGCGCUGGAGAAUUGAGGGGGGCUGCUCCUAGUACGAGAGGACCGGAGUGGACGCAUCACUGGUGUUCGGGUUGUCAUGCCAAUGGCACUGCCCGGUAGCUAAAUGCGGAAGAGAUAAGUGCUGAAAGCAUCUAAGCACGAAACUUGCCCCGAGAUGAGUUCUCCCUGAGACUUUAAGUCUCCUGAAGGAACGUUGAAGACGACGACGUUGAUAGGCCGGGUGUGUAAGCGCAGCGAUGCGUUGAGCUAACCGGUACUAAUGAACCGUGAGGCUUAACCUUACAACGCCGAAG
rnacentral:rRNA from 1 species